CUCGCCGUCCAGCCAGUUACUCCCGGAAGCGCUGGGACGGGUGGUGAGGGGUCCGGGCCGGAUGGCGCGCCUUAGAGAGGAUGCUGUUCGUGCUGCUUUCCGUGCCGUGUUUUCUGAAAGCUUAAAUACAGACCAGAAGAGGAGUUUGGGGCUUGACACCUGACAUCUUAACACCAGUUCCUGUUUCUUGAGGAAGGAAGAGGUAAAAUAAAUCAGCAUUUACUGUGUCCUUCUCCAUCCCCGGAAGUCUUCAUGAAGACCCUCUCAGCUUCUACUUGAACGUGAAUAUGAGCAACUGAUCAUCUGUUCUGCAGUCAGCCCCUGGCCUGAUUCUGACUCAUGGUAUUGACCUUCUCCAUCAUCACCUUCCACAAAUUUGAUUCCUAUCUAUUCUGCCUGGAAUGGUUCACGAGUAUAGUCACCAUUUAUGUUCCUGACGAAAGGUAUGUGCAAUGAAUAAGUCAUUGGUCUUGCCAAAUUCUAUCAGGUAAGCUUCAUUGUCAUUUCUAUCAUCAAUACCUUAUUUUCCAACUGCUGAUUUGUCUGCUUUGUUUUCAACUUCGCAUUCUAAUUACGUAAUUAUCAGUACAUCUUGAUUGAUGAAUGCAUCACGUUUGAUCAGUUUCAAACUGCGGAACUUGGUAAAAACCUUCAACUUCUUCAUCUUUCACAUUCAUAAUGUGUGUGUAAAUUUGAAUAAUAGUCUUAUUAACUGGUCUUCCUGGUAGGCCUGUGAAUAUUAUCCUAUUGUUCGUAGUGUUCUACUUCAGAAAAGAUCUUGAAAUGUUCUUUUUAUCGAUGAAUAUGAUGCCGUUCUCUUCAGUAUCUCAAUCCUGGCAUAGUAGAACAUAUCAUUGUCUAGUUUAAAAGGUCCAAAACCAAGUUAUUUCAGCUCACUAAUGCCUUGGAUUACUGACCUUUAUGCAUUCCAUUUCAUUUUUGAUGACUUCCAAUUUCCCUAGAUUCAUACUUCCUUCAUUCCACGUUCUGAUUAUUAAAGGAUAUUUGCAUCAGUUUCUUCUCAUUAUGAGUUGUGCCCCAUCAGGAAACGUCAUUAAAGUGGGAUCUACUUUGAGGAGGUAGCUCUUCCCCACUUGUAUUUUGAGUGCCUUCCAACCUAAGGGGUUAUCCUCUGUCAUUCCAUCAGACAGUGUUCCAGUACUAUUUGUAAGAUUUCACUGGCCAGUUGUUUUUAGAAAUAGGUCACUAGGUCCUUUUUCCUAGUCUGUCUAAAUCCAGAGCUCCACUCAAACCAGUCUACCAUCAGUGAACCUGGUGGUAUUUGAAAUACCGGUGGCAUAGCUUCUAACAUCACAGCAACAUGCAAGCCACCACACUACAACAAACUGACAGAAGAGUGGUGGGAGUUAAAAAUGAGAAGAACCAAAAAGAGUGCUUCUUCCAUGUCUGCUGAUUUAGAGGAUCCAUGAAAAAUUGUCAAGUGAAGAGUGAUUCAGAGAAAAACAUGGGUAGAAUGUGACCUAAUUUCCAUAAAAACAAACAAAUGAAUGUACUUACACGUGUCCCGGCAAAAAGAAGUGUGUAAAAGGGUACAUAUGUAUCUUUGGACACUGGACACUUUGGGGGAGCAGGUACAAUAUACUUAUGUGGGGAUGGCUCUUAUUAUCACUUCUGUAUACAAAUCUCUGUUGUUAAAUGUGUUAUAAGAAUGUAAAACCUUUUAAAGUUUAAUAACAUCAUACGUGUGUGUGUGUAUUUGAAACAUUUUUUUUUUACUAUUUUAUAUAUGUGUUUUUUAGUUAUCUAGUGUGGCUAUAGCAGAGAUAGCACAAGUGGACGGCUUUAACAAACAGAAACUUAUUCUCUCACAGUUUAAGAAGCAAGAAGUUUGAAGUCAGGGCGCCAGCUCUAAGAGAAAGCUUUCUCUCUUUGUGGCUCUGGGGGAAAGUCCUUGUCAUCCAUCUUCCCCUGGCCUAGGAAAUUCUCAGCGCCUGGACGCUGGGUCAAAAGGACAUGCUCCACUCCAGGCACUUCUUCCUUGGUGGUAUGAGGUCCCUCUCAUUUCUGCUCACUUUUCUCUUUGUAUCUCAAAAGAGACUGACUCAAGACUCACCCUAAUCCUGCAGAUUGUGUCCUCCCUCAUUAACCUAACUGCCUCUAAUCCUGCCUCAUUAACAUCACAGAGGUUAGAAUUUACAACACAUAAGUAAUCACAUCAGAUCACAAAAUGCAGGACAACCACACAAUACUGGGAAUCAUGGCCUGGCCAGGUUGACACACAUUUUGGGGGACACUAUUCAAUCCAUAACAAUAGAGAAAACACUGUCUUCAAUGCCAGAUUCAGAGACUUUUAUCCAUCUAUGAAGGGCAAACACAGAAAUUGAACAAAAUUCAGACCAGCGAAUUAUUGCUUGCUCUUGUAUCUAAUGACUUCUUCUGGUCUCUAUGCCUCGAAAUGGCCAAAAAGAAUUCUGAGGAUUAAUUCAGUUAUUGCUAAAACAUCUACUGAAUUUGCAUGUCUACAGGUAAGGAAGAAUGCUUGACACCGUGUGUGAUUCAUUAAGUAACACAGGGACCCUUAGACUAUUGUUCUCCUUCUCUGAUAUGCCACUAUCACCUUCUCCCCUUGUUGCUCUCCUGAAAAACCCACACUUGUAUAUUCUAGGCUUUUUUUCAGGAUUGAAUUUGCAGGAAGUUAAAGAUAUAUCUUUGAAAGAUAAAGAAGACUUUGGCCACGUUGUCUUUAGACAGUCGAACUUCCCAGCCAACCUCUGUGCAGGAUGGGAAUUCACAAUCCCUCCUACUCAGUACCUCUGAGCAGGACGGGAUUUCUGUUUCAUUAUCAGGCGACUGUGGAAUUCACCCCUCUUCAGAAAACUUACUUUCCUUUGCCUCAAACUGUCCCUCUCAGGAUCUGUCACGGUCACUGUGAGAAAUUCACAUGGGCAGCCUGUAUGGAAGUGCCCAUCCUAGAGGCCCUGCCCUCCCUUCCUUGCUCCACAGGGCUUCCUCUGACACUUGGGGUCGCAUCUCCCAGGGAGUACACACCUCUGGCACUUCCAGGGAUUCCCAGGCCCUGGGAUACUGUGGAUGGGACUUGGAACUCAAUCUGUUUCUUCCCAUCCUCACCUUUGGUUAUCUGUGUUCUGUCUUCACCAGAUUUAGGAGGCCUUGUCUUCUCUUUGCUCGUUUCAUCUCAGUCAGGCUUUUCUAUUCCAACUCUCUGAUCUCAGAACAGAUCAGGUUAGACCACAGAAAAGAGAAAGACCAAGCAAACAUCACUGAUCUGUGCAGAAGCUGCUGAGAAGGGAUUCGAUUCUCAUUGGUUUAGGGUUUUAUGCCCACUGCUCACCGGCAGGCAGGUUCCCCCCAGAGUCUGGCUUCUGUCUGGUACCUUGUACUACAAAGAACUCAGUGACCAGACCACCUUCACAAUCACACCUCCCUUAGAGCUAUCUUUGCAGAGGCUCUU